AGCAGCCGCGGUAAUUCCAGCUCCAAUAGCGUAUAUUAAAGUUGUUGCAGUUAAAAGCUCGUAGUUGAAUUUCGGGAUCAAUUAAUUGGUCGUGCCUCUGGUACGUACUGGUUUUAUUGGUUUCUCCCUUCUGACGAACCAUGAUGUCAUUAAUUUGGUGUCUUGGGGGAAUCAGGACUGUUACUUUGAAAAAAUUAGAGUGUUUAAAGCAGGCUCACGCUUGAAUACAUUAGCAUGGAAUAAUGAAAUAGGACGUUUGAUUCUAUUUUGUUGGUUUCUAGGAUUGACGUAAUGAUUAAUAGGGAUAGUUGGGGGGCAUUAGUAUUCAAUUGUCAGAGGUGAAAUUCUUGGAUUUAUUGAAGACUAACUACUGCGAAAGCAUUUGCCAAGGAUGUUUUCAUUAAUCAAGAACGAAAGUUAGGGGAUCGAAGACGAUCAGAUACCGUCGUAGUCUUAACCAUAAACUAUGCCGACUAGGAAUCAGACGAUGUUAAUUUUUUCAAUGAC
rnacentral:misc_RNA from 1 species